rnacentral:tRNA from 1 species
GACCGCGUAGCUCAGUUGGAAGAGCAUUGGGCUGGUAUUCCAAUGGUCGUAGGUUCGAAUCCCACCGUGGCCG